rnacentral:sRNA from 1 species
GCGACAUAUUAAGCGUAACAACCUCCAUAAAAGACACCCCUAAAUCGAAAAUAAAAUAACAUCCAAUGAAUGAUGAAAUAUUUACCCAGCUCGCUUUGAUCUUAAGUGAAGAAAACUUCCGAACCAACGCAAAAGAAGUCUCUGAACCCAAACUAAUAUAAAAUGUUUUCGAUUUGGUGUAAACUUUUUUAAUAGCGUUAUGUAUUUCUCUUACAGAACGCAGUGGAUGGAAUUAUCAUUUUGCCCCUUCAUUCAAUCAGUCGAAGCGUCGCUUUCGCACACGCAAUUCUAGAUUCAAAAUACGAUUUGUUAUUUAGGUUUUGAAACGCGUAAAGAAUUUAACUGCGCACACUGCUUGAGGAACUUUCAGAACGCAGUGGAUGGAAUUAUCAUUUUGCCCCUUCAUUCAAUCAGUCGAAGCGUCGCUUUCGCACACGCAAUUCUAGAUUCAAAAUACGAUUUGUUAUUUAGGUUUUGAAACGCGUAAAGAAUUUAACUGCGCACACUGCUUGAGGAACUUUCAGGUUUUGAAAUGUGAAAAGAAUUUAACAGCGGACGCUGCUUGAGGAACUUUGAGAACGCAGUGGAUGGAAUUAUCAUUUUGCCCCUUCAUUCAAUCAGUCGAAGCGUCGCUUUCGCACACGCAAUUCUAGAUUCAAAAUACGAUUUGUUAUUUAGGUUUUGAAACGCGUAAAGAAUUUAACUGCGCACACUGCUUGAGGAACUUUCAGGUACAUAAGUUAACAAAUUUAAAUUAAGCAAGGUAACAUGGUUAUUUAUUUUCGAUAUUGGAUUUGUUUAAAGUGUAUUUUAGUCCACUAGAACGACUUUUUAGUUAAUAUACGGCUCGAUUUUACCUCAAUAAAUAAAGCAAUAAUAAAUAUAACAAAGUUUU